AAUCUGUAUUGUGGAUACUUCCGCAAGAGAUCAUUGAAUCGCUCCCAUAUCUCAAACAAGGAUUCAAGUUCCAUCUAAACAAACGAUGAUAUCUCAUUAUGAAGCUU